rnacentral:rRNA from 1 species
GUCCUUUGGGUAAAUUUUAAGGUCGGGCCUGCCCCCUGACGUUGAAUUGUUAAAGGGCCGCGGUAUUUUGACCGUGCAAAGGUAGCAUAAUCAUUAGUCUUUUAAUUCUGAAGGCUGGUAUGAAUGGUUUGACGAAACACUGGCUGUCUCCAUAUAAUAAAUAAAAUUUAUAACUUUUGAGUCAAAAGGCUUAAAUGAUUAUAAAAGACGAGAAGACCCUAUAGAUCUUUUCAUAUGGGAUUGUGGUUGUUUUGUUUAGUGGUAGUGAUAACAGCUAUGAUGUCGUAUUUUGUAUUGGGGUGACAUGAAGAUAUAUAUAACUCUUCGUAUUGUAAACAUUGAUUUAUGAGUAAUAAUGAUCCGUUUUUAACGAUUACAAGAUAAAGUUACCUUAGGGAUAACAGCGUAAUUUUUUUUCUGAGAGUUCUUAUCGACAAGAAAGAUUGCGACCUCGAUGUUGGAUUAAGGAAUAUGAUUA